AGAGUCAUUGUGGGGGAGGGGGUGGGCCAGCCAGGGCAGGCAGGGACAGUCCUUCUGAUGAGGAGGCCACUGGGCUGAGACCAAUGAAUGAGACGGAGCCAGCCACGUGGGCUUGAGUCUGGGGGAGCCUGGCUGCCCAGAGGUGGCAGAUGACAUGAAGAAAUAACCAUGUAAGGGCUGGCUGUGUAUGAGAGCAAGCAUUGGGAAGGAUGAAUGCCAACUAUGUUCCAGGAACUUCUACUGUUCUCACACACCCAGAUGAGUGGUGUUCAGGUGGGUGGCACCCAGGUGAGUGGCACCCAGGUGGAUAGCAUCCAGGUGAGUGACACCUAGGUGAGUGACAUUCAGGUGAGUGGCAUCUGUGUGAGUGGCAUCAUCCAGGUGAGUAGCUUCCAGGUGAGUGGCACCCAGGUGAGUGGCAUUCAGGUGAGUGGCAUUAUCCAGGUGACACCUGGGUGAGUGGCAUCCAGGCGAGUGAUAUCAUCCAGGUAAGUGGCACCUGGGUGAGUGACAUCCAGGUGAGUGAUAUCAUCCAGGUAAAUGGCACCCAGGUGAGUAGCAUUCAGGUGAGUGACACCCAGGCGAGUGGCAUCCACGUGACUAGCAUUGUCCAGGUGCAUAACACCCAUGAGUGGCACCCAGUUGAGUGGCACCCAAGUGAGUCACAUCCGGGUAAGUGGGGU
rnacentral:lncRNA from 1 species